CAGACAUUUCAAAUGAAUGGAAUCACACAACAGAUGCCCAUGAUUUAAUGUAAACUAAAAAAGAAUAAAAAGGACAAUUUCAACUAAGUAAAUAAAAAACACUGCACGGGAAAAAAGACUGGAAGGAAAUAAGCAAACCUACACAUUACUGUUGCCACAUGUGGAAAACAGAUGAGUGAAUUCAUUUUUUGCACCUAUAUGUUUUCAUUACUAUCUGAACUUGCUAAAUGAGUAUAUAUUAAUUUUCAUUCUGGUUAUCAAAGUGAGUAAAAAACUAAAAAGGAGGGAGAGAGGAAAAGGAAAAAAAGAGAGGAGGGAGGGAGGAAAGAAAGAGAGGAAGGAAGGAAUCCUUAGACUUCAUCUCACCUCAAAAAGAAGGCUGAAUGCAUCUUCCUCCUGACUUGUGAGGUGAACUGACAAGCCCUUAAUGAAGACCCCCUGAGGACUUUCCACAAUGGUCAUUGGUGUGACCGAGGGUCCAACAUAGGGUAGAGUGGACAGGAGGUCAAACAGGCUCUCAUUAUAGAUUUCCAGGUAGGAAACACGCACAGUGAUGGCAUGUGUGGGGCGCUCUUCAAUCAUCCUAAAAACCUAGAUGGGAGAUUGGACAGAAGUCACCAAGAGCAGAGCUCCAAAUACCCAUCAGUAUUAGGGGAAUUUCUUACCUUAGGAGGGAAUCCUUGCACUAAAGGAAUUCAGAGUCUAGUGGAUGUGACGAUCAUCAAAAACAACAAUUAUCAGUAGCUCCAUCGGGUGAUAUUUAUUAUCAUAUUGUAGGUUAUUGAGGCCUAACUUGCAGAUUGAGUACAGCUUCAAGAAAUAGAGGCAUGGUGAACAGAAAGGACUCAGAAGUGAAGGACAGAGCUUUAAAACCUCAAGAUGCUUUUAGGGAAAAGUCCUUUGCCUCCCACCUCCAAAAAGAGGGUCCUCACAAAACCCAGACUAGCGGAACUCAAAGCAAACCACUGUGGUAGCAGCUGGAUCAGAAACAUACUGAGUUCGGUCAAUGGUAGAUUCCAAUCUUUGAAAUGGGGGCUUCUGAUAUAAACAGACAUUCACUGGAAUCUUAUCCUGGAUGCCCUAAUCCGAAGCCAAGACACAGCCACAUGCAGAAAAAAUAUCAACAGAGAGAGGCUUGGUCCAUUCAGGUAAGAAAUGCUCUGUGCUUCAGUGUUCACUGAAGCCAUGUCCAGCAGGGUGCACUUCACAAGGCUGCAGGUGAGUUUCCUUUUGACUGCUAGGACUUUCGACUCUUGAGAAGGUG